rnacentral:rRNA from 1 species
GCGGCAGACGGGUGAGUAACGCGUGGGAAUCAUCCCUUCAGUGAGGAAUAACUCCGAGAAAUUGGAGCUAAUACUGCAUACGUCCCAUUGGGAGAAAGGCGGCUUUAUGCUGUCGCUGAAGGACGAGCCUGCGUACUAUCAACUAGUUGGUGAGGUAAUGGCUCACCAAGGCUAUGACGGUUAGCCGGCCUGAGAGGGUGUACGGCCACACUGGAACUUAGACACGGUCCAGACUCCUACGGGAGGCAGCAGUGAGGAAUCUUGCACAAUGGGCGAAAGCCUGAUGCAGCGACGCCGCGUGGAGGAUGAAGGUCUUCGGAUUGUAAACUUCUGUUAAGUGGGAAGAAAAGCCUAGGUAUAAUACACCUAGGUGAUGACGGUACCAUUAAAGAAAGCACCGGCUAACUUCGUGCCAGCAGCCGCGGUAAUACGAAGGGUGCAAGCGUUAUUCGGAAUUAUUGGGCGUAAAGGGUGCGCAGGCGGCAUGCUAAGUCAGCUGUUUAAUUUCUCGGCCUAACUGAGAGUCAGCAGCAGAUACUGGUGUGCUAGAGGGUGGAAGAGAGAAGUGGAAUUCUCGGAGUAGCGGUAAAAUGCGUAGAUCUCGAGAGGAACACCAAUGGCGAAGGCAGCUUCUUGGUCCACACCUGACGCUCAUGCACGAAAGCGUGGGGAGCAAACAGGAUUAGAUACCCUGGUAGUCCAC